GACGAACCGAGCGAACGUUAUUCGAAAUCACUGGGCUUAAAGGGCGCGUAGGCGGGCCAUCAAGUCAGGGGUGAAAGCCCCCAGCUCAACUGGGGAAGUGCCUCUGAUACUGGUGGCCUCGAGGGAGGUAGGGGCGUGCGGAACUUCCGGUGGAGCGGUGAAAUGCGUAGAUAUCGGAAGGAACACCGGUGGCGAAAGCGGCGCGCUGGACCUCUUCUGACGCUGAGGCGCGAAAGCCAGGGGAGCGAACGGG
rnacentral:rRNA from 1 species